rnacentral:rRNA from 1 species
AUUGAACGCUGGCGGCAGGCCUAACACAUGCAAGUCGAACGAGUGGCGGACGGGUGAGUAAUGUCUGGGAAACUGCCUGAUGGAGGGGGAUAACUACUGAAAACGGUAGCUAAUACCGCAUACCAUACGAUGUGCCCAGAGGGGAUUAGCUUGUUGGUGGGGUAACGGCUCACCAAGGCGAAGAUCCCUAGCUGGUCUGAGAGGCAAACCGGCCACAAUGGAACUGAGACACGGUCCAGACUCCUACGGGAGGCAGCAGUGGGGAAUCUUGCACAAUGGGCGCAAGCCUGAUGCAGCCAUGCCGCGUGUAUGAAGAAGGCCUUCGGGUUGUAAAGGACUUUCAGCGGGGAGGCGGUACCUGCAGAAGAAGCACCGGCUAACUACGUGCCAGCAGCCGCGGUAAUAC